rnacentral:lncRNA from 1 species
ACUCGCGGCCCAGCCGUGGCCCUUUGGGGCAGCCGGAGCCGGCUCUGCUCUGACACCGGGCAGCGGCUGGGCCCGGCUCACAGGGACCCCCCCCCGCAGCCCCCCACUACCAGACCUUGCCAUACAAACCCAAUCCCCCCCCUUGGGCCCGCGGCUCCUGGGGCUGCCCUGUGCCUGGGCACCGGGUGCUGGUGCCCGCCACCAAGAGCAGAAGGGGACGGGGAGGUGGGGAGGUGCUGGCAGACCUGGGAGGUGGCGGGGCUGGCAGGGGGGGAGCUGGCCCGUGCCUGGCCUGGAGAGGAGCAGCCCCGCAGCCCCCCCAGCCCCUCGCUGCUGCCCUCCCGGCCGGUGGGUGGCCGCUCCUGAGCUGGGCGGCCGCAGGGGCCAAGGUCCAGGCGGGGAGCACCCGGCGGUGGCACCGGGCAGCUGAGCCGUGCCCCGCGCAGCGCCAUGAGGCUGCGGCUGCUCUGCGCCCUCGCCGUGGCCCUCCUGGCCGUGGCCGGGGCCGACCCACGGGACUCCAAGAAGGGGAAGACGCUCACGCGGGACAGAGAGGUUGGCGGUGGGCAGAGGGAGGAGGCCAGAGCUGGGCAGCACCAGCCAGGAGGGGAGGGAGGCCGCAGGGAAGCGCCGCGAGGAGGGGGAAGGCCCACGGCACGGCGUGGCGGCUCUGGCACCGCAGGGAGCGAUUCCCCCCCUGGCAUUGUCCCCCCAGGGGACACCGGCCGCUGUCACCGGCACCGCGCACCGGGCAGGGCAGAGCCCCAGGGAGCGUCGCUCUCUGUCCCUGUCCCGGUCGGGUGCUGCCCUGGGCAGGGCUGGCCCCGAGGAUGGGCCGGGGGCAGCGGGGUCUGGCCGAGCCCCUCGUCCCAGGGGGCUGCGCCAUGGGGGGGGGGGGGGGUGCGCUGGGGCGUCCCCGGGGCCUUCGCUCUGCCAAAGCGCUGCUGCCGCUGCCGCUUGCACAACCAGCAAACAUUUCGUCAGGGGUUGGCGAGGGGCUGAGCGGGGGCAGGAGGAGCGCGGCCAUGGCUCCAGCGAAUCCUCGUCCCCUUUGCCUUCCUCCUCUUCCUCCGCCGCCAUCCCCUUGCCGCCGUGCACCUCGCCCCUGCCCUGCAGCGCCCCGAUCCCACCAUCGACGUGGGAGGGCGGCACGCCGCCGGUGCUCCUGCUCCCCCCGCAUCCCCCCAAUCCAUCCCCUGCUCUCUGCCCCGUCCCGCUGCGGGGCCAAGCCGCGGCACCCCCUGGCAGAGGGCACGGCGGUGCCGGCGCCGCUCGGUCCCCACGGGGACCGCUGACUGACGCCUUCCCUCUGCAGGCGGGGACGCGCGGUGGGGGCCGGCGCCGGCCGUGCUCGGGGUGCUUCUCUGUGCUGAGCGAGGUGAGCGGGGAGCAGAGGUGCUGGGGGGAACGGGACGGGAAGGGACGGGGAUGGGGAUGGGGAUGGGAUGGGGAUGGGAUGGGGAUGGGAUGGGGACGGGGACGGGGACGACCCCACACACGGGCAGAGAGCAGGCACAGGGCUCACACACAGGCUCGUGCUCACCCCUGUGGGGGUGGCAGCGGGGGUCUGUCCAUUUGUUGUCCGUCUGUCCGUCUGUCUGUCUGUCCGUCCCCGAGGGCUCAGCCUGCGGGUGCCCCUGGGGAACCCCUCCGUGGGGAGCCCCGGGGGCACCCGGGACACACGCCCCUCGCACCGCUCCGUACCCCCCCCCCUACCUGCAGGAGUCCACCUCCAUGGCCUGGAGCACCGGGGAUGUGGACGAAGGCCCCGCGGGCAGGCGGCGCGUCCAGGAGCGCACCAGGAGGGAAAGCGAGAGACCCGCCCAGGUGGCACGAGGCCGCGGCCACGUCCCGCAGCUCGGCCAGGAGGCACCGGGCGCCCACGUGGCAUGGGCGGGAGAGGCACCGGUGACCCAGCGCGGACCCACGCGAGGACGGAGCCGGGGGUCCCGCCGCCCCCUGACCGCACCGCGGGGUCCCGCUGCCCCCCACCAGCCCUGAGGGGAGCUGGGGGGGCCCUGCCGUGUCCCCCCGCUCAGUGGGGCCACCCCACCCCAGCACGCUGCUGCCCCUGCACCCCAAAAUUUUCUGCAGGGGUGUCCCCACCCGCUGCGCGGAGCCACCGAAUAAAGGCACCGAGACAGCCCGAGUGGGUGCGUCU